rnacentral:rRNA from 1 species
GACGUAGGGGGCCAGCGUUGCUCGGAAUAACUGGGCGUAAAGGGUCUGUAGGCGGUGUGGCAAGUCGGGAGUGAAAUCUCUGGGCUUAACUCAGGGGCUGCUUCCGAAACUGCCGUGCUCGAGUGCGAGAGAGGUGAGUGGAAUUGCAGGUGUAGCGGUGAAAUGCGUAGAUAUCUGCAGGAACACCCGUGGCGAAGGCGGCUCACUGGAUCGCAACUGACGCUGAGAGACGAAAGCUAGGGGAGCAAACAGG